GAUCAUGGCUCAGGAUGAACGCUAGCUACAGGCUUAACACAUGCAAGUCGAGGGGCAGCGGGGAGGAUGCUUGCAUUCUCUGGCCGGCGACCGGCGCACGGGUGAGUAACGCGUACCGAACCUGGCCUCAUACUCGGGGAAUAGCCUUGCGAAAGUAAGAUUAAUGCCCCGGUGUUCCGCGAGGGCCCGCAUGGCCUUUUCGGCAAAGUUAUUUACGGUAUGAGAUGGCGGUGCGUCCCAUUAGCUUGUUGGCGGGGUAACGGCCCACCAAGGCGACGAUGGGUAGGGGUUCUGAGAGGAAGGUCCCCCCACAUUGGAACUGAGACACGGUCCAAACUCCUACGGGAGGCAGCAGUGAGGAAUAUUGGUCAAUGGGCGAAAGCCUGAACCAGCCAAGUAGCGUGCAGGAUGACGGCCCUCUGGGUUGUAAACUGCUUUUAGUCGGGAAUAAAAUGCGGCACGUGUGCCGCUUUGCAUGUACCGUCAGAAAAAGGACCGGCUAAUUCCGUG
rnacentral:rRNA from 1 species